rnacentral:rRNA from 1 species
AUUGAACGCUGGCGGCAGGCUUAACACAUGCAAGUCGAACGAGUGGCGGACGGGUGAGUAAUGCCUGGGAAUCUACCUUAUGGAGGGGGAUAACUACGGGAAACUGUAGCUAAUACCGCGUACCAUAGGAUGUACCCAUGUGGGAUUAGGUAGUUGGUGUGGUAACGGCUCACCAAGCCGACGAUCUCUAGCUGGUCUGAGAGGAUGACCAGACACAGUGGAACUGAUACACGGCCCAGGCGCCUACGGGAGGCAGCAGGGGGGAAUAUUGCGCAAUGGGUGCAACCUGACACAGCCAUGCCGCGUGUAUGAAGAAGGCCUUCGGGUUGUAAAGUUCUUUCGGUGGCGAGGCGUUAACUUCAGAAGAAGCACCGGCUAACUCCGUUCCAGCAGCCGCGGUAAUUC